rnacentral:lncRNA from 1 species
CUGGAAGGAUCUACCGGAGUCCCUCUUCCCCUCCCCUUCUGGCUCUCCCCUCCGAUGUUGCUUGGUAAAGAUGCUCUUCCUAGGGCUACACAGCAUUCAAAACCAACUUGCUAUUGGUGUGCUUUUAGUAACCAGGGACUAUUUUAGGGGUUUACUAAUCAUAGAGAAUCUGGGGACAGUCUUAGGGAGAAGAAACUUCCUUGGAAAUAUAUUUCCCUUUAAACUUAGAACAGUUUUGCUUUAUUUGCUCCUGGUAAAGUCCGCAUUUAAAAAUAACAGUCAGCUGGGCGCAUGUUGAAAUGAACAAGUGUUUGAGUCAACCUCCACAGAAAUGUUUGAAAGAUUAAAAAUAUUUUAUUGGCCGCACAAUAUUGCAAGGAAGACAGCAACAUUGAAAUUACAAGUGUUUAAUUAAAUGUCUCUGGAUUGUGACAUUAGGUCAACUAGUUGAGGGCAACUCCAUUCAACUCAUGUAUAUAUUACAUUUAAUGUGGAAUGAGAGCAUUUUAAUAUGUGUAAUAAAAGAUAAGAGUCUCCAAAAGUAAGAGUGCAUAGAGCCUAUGAACUAUCAAAAUAACCUUGUCUACACUCCGUGAUGGUUCUUAUCACAAUGAUCAUUAUCUCUGUACCUCACAGGUGGAUUCUGAAUGGUGGGUCAAUGUCCAUAGGAAAUGGC